CAUCAACAACUAGCUUAAUCAAC
rnacentral:rRNA from 1 species